rnacentral:rRNA from 1 species
GAUGAACGCUGGCGGCGUGCCUAAUACAUGCAAGUCGAGCGAACGGACGAGAAGCUUGCUUCUCUGAUGUUAGCGGCGGACGGGUGGGUAACACGUGGAUAACCUACCUAUAAGACUGGGAUAACUUCGGGAAACCGGAGCUAAUACCGGAUAAUAUUUUGAACCGCAUGGUUCAAAAGUGAAAGACGGUCUUGCUGUCACUUAUAGAUGGAUCCGCGCUGCAUUAGCUAGUUGGUAAGGUAACGGCUUACCAAGGCAACGAUGCAUAGCCGACCUGAGAGGGUGAUCGGCCACACUGGAACUGAGACACGGUCCAGACUCCUACGGGAGGCAGCAGUAGGGAAUCUUCCGCAAUGGGCGAAAGCCUGACGGAGCAACGCCGCGUGAGUGAUGAAGGUCUUCGGAUCGUAAAACUCUGUUAUUAGGGAAGAACAUAUGUGUAAGUAACUGUGCACAUCUUGACGGUACCUAAUCAGAAAGCCACGGCUAACUACGUGCCAGCAGCCGCGGUAAUACGUAGGUGGCAAGCGUUAUCCGGAAUUAUGGGGCGUAAAGCGCGCGUAGGCGGUUUUUUAGUCUGAUGUGAAAGCCCACGGCUCAACCGUGGAGGGUCAUUGGAAACUGGAAAACUUGAGUGCAGAAGAGGAAAGUGGAAUUCCAUGUGUAGCGGUGAAAUGCGCAGAGAUAUGGAGGGACACCAGUGGCGAAGGCGACUUUCUGGUCUGUAACUGACGCUGAUGUGCGAAAGCGUGGGGAUCAAACUGGAUUAGAUACCCUGGUAGUCCACGCCGUAAACGAUGAGUGCUAAGUGUUAGGGGGUUUCCGCCCCUUAGUGCUGCAGCUAACGCAUUAAGCACUCCGCCUGGGGAGUACGACCGCAAGGUUGAAACUCAAAGGAAUUGACGGGGACCCGCACAAGCGGUGGAGCAUGUGGUUUAAUUCGAAGCAACGCGAAGAACCUUACCAAAUCUUGACAUCCUUUGACAACUCUAGAGAUAGAGCCUUCCCCUUCGGGGGACAAAGUGACAGGUGGUGCAUGGUUGUCGUCAGCUCGUGUCGUGAGAUGUUGGGUUAAGUCCCGCAACGAGCGCAACCCUUAAGCUUAGUUGCCAUCAUUAAGUUGGGCACUCUAAGUUGACUGCCGGUGACAAACCGGAGGAAGGUGGGGAUGACGUCAAAUCAUCAUGCCCCUUAUGAUUUGGGCUACACACGUGCUACAAUGGACAAUACAAAGGGCAGCGAAACCGCGAGGUCAAGCAAAUCCCAUAAAGUUGUUCUCAGUUCGGAUUGUAGUCUGCAACUCGACUACAUGAAGCUGGAAUCGCUAGUAAUCGUAGAUCAGCAUGCUACGGUGAAUACGUUCCCGGGUCU